AAGAUACUAGUAAAACAGACAUUACACUGCUUUGUCAAGGCAGAGUUGUGGGUUAAAGCCCCGCGUAUCUUG
rnacentral:tRNA from 1 species